rnacentral:rRNA from 1 species
UACGUAGGGUGCAAGCGUUGUCCGGAAUUAUUGGGCGUAAAGAGCUCGUAGGCGGUUUGUCGCGUCUGCUGUGAAAACUGGAGGCUCAACCUCCAGCCUGCAGUGGGUACGGGCAGACUAGAGUGCGGUAGGGGAGAUUGGAAUUCCUGGUGUAGCGGUGAAAUGCGCAGAUAUCAGGAAGAACACCCGUGGCGAAGGCGGCUCUCUGGGACGGUACUGACGCUGAGACGCGAAAGCGUGGGGAGCGAACAGG